UGCCCUCGUAGUGUAAUGGAUCACACGCAAGAUUCCGGUUCUUGAAAUGGGGGUUCGAUUCCCUCCGAGGGUAUCC
rnacentral:tRNA from 2 species